rfam:Gossypium hirsutum cultivar TM-1 chromosome 3, whole genome shotgun sequence
AUUUCAUGGUGAGGGCAUUCUCGUAGCAGUUCCUUAAAUCUAUUCCAUGCGUCAUACAAGGACUUAUCAUCCACCUUUUUAAGGAAGUGAUCUCAUUUUAAAACU